UUACAUAAUACGUAUACAUGGGAUGGUCGUAUACACAAAUGAUUAGAGUCAUGCAGUGAGUUACAAAUAUAACCAUUGGAAUGGUCGUAUCUCUAAAGUCCUUACGGUAUGCAUGCCUUCAAAUAAAAUCUCGUUAUACAAUUGUGAAAACGCUUAUUAUUAACUUAGAAAUUAUUUUUUGUUUGUCAGAUACAGUGUUGGGUGCAAACUCCGUUGUGGUUUCAAGGGCAACCAACCGGUGGGAUGGGAUGCUGGCCACUAGAGAAGUUUUCGAGUCUCCAAUAUGCCAAGGAUGAAAUGGGUUGUUCAGUAGUUACCAGCAAAGCCGUCCGUAAUGGCCCACAAUGAGCUGCUCUGGACCAGAAGGCAUUGGAAGAAUUUUACUUCAGAGAAGUCUGGUUCCAAAUUACACAAUUCGUAUAUGUUGAUUAUUUUAACACAUACAAAACAAUUAUGGGAAACCUUGCAGGGUUUGGGUUUUCAGAUGGAUCCCAGGCAUGCUGUGUCGUUGGAGGUGGAUUUUUCAACUUUAACUUGCACAGUUUCUGUGGUAUGAUUAGCACCAAUACCUGCAGCAACCCAUCUGGUCAGGUCCACUGGGAUGAGCUUCAUCUCACAGAAGCAAUACAUCGACAAAUAACUUGGCAAAGACAACCAAAUGGUACCGUUUUCAACUUUCAACAGAUUGAUUAAGUGCAUUUGACAACAUGCUGAGAAACCCAUUAAGGUUAAAAAGAAGUGAAUGGCGUCAACUUCAGCAGAAACAAUUUUCUUAAAAAGAAAUUUUGUAAUGUCUGAAUCUUUCUCUAAUCGAGGCCAUUCUUUCCUCAAUGACCUUCAUUCAUCUUUUAUCUACAGUCUGAUCCUUUUGUUUCUUUUCGAACCAUUACGAUAUUGUAUAGCCUGUAUAUCAUUUAAGACUGAACAUGCAAACUCACAAUACAAACCAUCUGUUUACGCAACCUUCUUCAACCAGUCACUUUGUUGUAGCACUUUCAAAAAAGCAUAAGAGGAAAUGGCAGACUCAAUUUUCAGAAAUUACAACUUCCAUAAUAAAUAAUAGGGUUCUUACCACUAAUGUUCAUAACUCCGAAAAGCUAAAAUGGGACUGCUUCUUAUCAGUAAGAAGCAGGAAAUUUUCUUACCGGACUCUAAUUACCUUUGGUGGUCGGCCUUUCCAUCUGCACACUAUUUAAAAGAAACUUCAAAUCAAAUUAGGUAAUUCUGUUUGGAAGUUUGAUGUAGAUGUAAAGAAACGCAAACAAGUCUCCUUGACACAGUC
rnacentral:lncRNA from 1 species